UACAGAGGUCCCAAGCGUUGUUCGGAUUCACUGGGCGUAAAGGGUGCGUAGGUGGUUGGGUAAGUCUGAUGUGAAAUCUCCGGGCUUAACUCGGAAACUGCCAUUGAUACUAUCUGUCUUGAAUACCGUGGAGGUUAGCGGAAUAUGUCAUGUAGCGGUGAAAUGCUUAGAUAUGACAUAGAACACCAAUUGCGAAGGCAGCUGGCUACACGAAUAUUGACACUGAUGCACGAAAGCGUGGGGAUCAAACAGG
rnacentral:rRNA from 1 species